ACAUGGGCAAAGGCCAACAGCAAUGGCAGAAACAAGAGCAGAUAGUCAACAAAGGGCUAUCUCUUUAGCUACUUUGGUCAGUUUCUGGAAAAACGACUAUAAAAACCCAGAACCAUGCUGCAUCUUUGCGAACCUGAGUCAAGACGGAAUGCUGAGUGAGAAUCGUCACUGAGGUUGCAGUUGGCGUGAAGAGAGGAUCUGACGAACUACUCUCAGGCAGUGUUCUCAGUAGUCCGAACUCUAAUAUGAGCAGCAUGGUAGUUACAGCCAAUGGUAAUGAUAGUAAAAAAUUUAAAGGAGAAGAUAAAAUGGAUGGUGCUCCUUCUCGUGUACUUCAUAUUCGAAAAUUACCUGGGGAAGUAACAGAAACUGAAGUUAUUGCUUUAGGCUUACCUUUUGGUAAGGUGACCAACAUCCUUAUGCUGAAAGGAAAAAAUCAGGCAUUUUUGGAACUAGCAACCGAGGAAGCAGCUAUUACUAUGGUUAAUUACUAUUCUGCUGUGACACCUCAUCUUCGUAACCAACCAAUAUAUAUCCAGUACUCGAAUCACAAAGAACUAAAGACAGAUAAUACAUUAAACCAACGUGCUCAGGCAGUUCUUCAAGCUGUGACAGCUGUCCAGACAGCAAAUACUCCUCUUAGUGGCACCACAGUUAGCGAGAGUGCAGUGACUCCAGCCCAGAGUCCAGUACUUAGAAUAAUUAUUGACAACAUGUACUACCCUGUAACACUUGAUGUUCUUCACCAAAUAUUUUCUAAGUUUGGUGCUGUAUUGAAGAUAAUCACAUUUACAAAAAAUAACCAGUUUCAAGCUUUGCUCCAGUAUGGUGAUCCAGUAAAUGCUCAACAAGCAAAACUAGCCCUAGAUGGUCAGAAUAUUUAUAAUGCCUGCUGUACCCUAAGGAUUGAUUUUUCCAAACUUGUGAAUUUGAAUGUAAAAUACAACAAUGAUAAAAGUAGGGAUUAUACUCGACCUGAUCUUCCAUCUGGGGAUGGACAACCUGCAUUGGACCCAGCUAUUGCUGCAGCAUUUGCCAAGGAGACAUCCCUCUUAGCUGUUCCAGGAGCUCUGAGUCCUUUGGCCAUUCCAAAUGCUGCUGCAGCAGCUGCUGCAGCUGCUGCUGGCCGAGUGGGUAUGCCUGGAGUCUCAGCUGGUGGCAAUACAGUCCUGUUGGUUAGCAAUUUAAAUGAAGAGGUGUUUAUGGAGAUGUGCAGCGUGUGAAGAUUUUAUACAAUAAGAAAGACAGCGCUCUAAUACAGAUGGCUGAUGGAAACCAAUCACAACUUGCCAUGAAUCAUCUUAAUGGACAGAAAAUGUAUGGAAAAAUUAUUCGUGUUACUCUGUCUAAACAUCAGACUGUACAGCUACCUCGAGAGGGACUUGAUGAUCAAGGGCUAACAAAAGAUUUUGGUAAUUCCCCAUUGCAUCGUUUUAAGAAACCUGGAUCCAAAAAUUUUCAAAACAUUUUUCCUCCUUCUGCCACCCUUCACCUAUCUAAUAUCCCUCCAUCAGUAGCAGAAGAGGAUCUACGAACACUGUUCGCUAACACUGGGGGCACUGUGAAAGCAUUUAAGUUUUUUCAAGAUCACAAAAUGGCUCUUCUUCAGAUGGCAACAGUGGAAGAAGCUAUUCAGGCCUUGAUUGAUCUUCAUAAUUAUAACCUUGGAGAAAACCAUCAUCUGAGAGUGUCUUUCUCCAAGUCAACAAUUUAAAAAUGGGAAGAUGAAGAUUGGGGGUGAAUCACAUUGUUCAAUGUCAUCACCUAUUUGACUGUUCAGAAAAGUGGGGACCAGAGUUUGAUUUUUUUUGUUUUUGUUUUUUUGGGGUUUCUUUUUUUUUUCCAUGCUGUUAUCAUUCCUUGGUUAUAAAAUGAAAUGGCAUAUGUAAAGGCAGAGUUGUUAACUGCUAUAUUUCAUCUGUUCUAUAGGGAAGCCAUUUUGUCUGUUUAAAAUUUCAGUUUAAUUUUGCUUUUUUUUUUUUUUUUUUUUUCCUUUCAACUUAGUUGACAUACGUGCCUUAAAAAGGAAAACUAGUGUUGCUAUUGUGCAUUUACUAGAAAAAAGGAAUUGGUUGUUUAGGGCACACUGUUAUAUGGGAAUUAAAAUAUGUUUAGGCAGGGGUGUGUAAAAAGGUUAAGUUUUUGUUUCUCCUGCUUGGAACUUAUUUUGAAUUACUGGCUUGUCACCUUUUUUUCUAUUUAAUCAAAUAAGAUACAUGAUAUUGAAAGAAUAAAGCAGCAUUUUUAGUUUUUACUACCUUAGGCUUUAUUGCUUUGAAAACAACAUUGGCCUUUUGUAUCUCACAAUUCUGGUCUAGAUUCAGUUAUGAAUGUAGGCAUUAGUUAAAAUUAACAAGAUGCAGAGUAUUAAUUUCUUAAGACAACAAAGUGAUUUCUGUAAGUUUGAGCCCUAUGUGGAAAGCAUUGUGGAAUCUUAACCUUUUCGUACACACUCUUGUGGGACGUAUCAUAUAAAUGUCAGCACUAAGUAAUGUCUUGUUUGUGGCUGAAUAUUUUUCGUAGAUGUUUUUGAAGUUGACAUGACUUACGUGCAUUUAAAUAUAUAUUGCCAUCCUUAGUUUGUAAUUAAGAUUUGGAAUAUGGUUGUGGAUUUCUGAGCAUGUGCAGACUGGUCUAGCUAGUUCAGGAACUGGUGCAUGUAUUUUUCAAAGAUAAAGAAAGUGUACUGCGAAAAUAUGCAGGAAGAUUAAUUUUGUGGCAGUUUUCUAAAACUGACAACCAGGUGGGACCAAAGUUUAUGUGCCUUUAGUCUUAAUUUACCUUGCAUUGUAAUAUUCAGUUUUAAUAAAUCUUCAAAAUAUUUUGUAUUUAGGAAUAGAUCUGACUUUAAUAAAAACAUGGCUCAGAAUCUACAGGUCAAAUUAAUUUGAACAGUUCUUGUCAAUCCGAAUUGUUGAUUCUGUUUAAAUGACCAAUACUUUUUGAAAUUGAUGUACUUAGUUUCAAGAUUCAUAGAUUCUGUUAUCUAUGUAGACAGAAUGGUCAUGUAUAUUUUCUAUUAGUUGAGUUUUUACAUCUUUAGAAAUGUAAAAUUCAGUAUAGUUUGAAAGCGGCACAAUUAAAAAUUAAUUUUCUAACAAAGUUGGGAGGUUUGAUGGUUGUUUAAUUUCAUUUUGUGUGUACUCUGCUUACCCCUGUAGCAUGCUCAAUAAACACUUCUGUAGCUCUAUAUUCACCUUUUCUGUCUUUCUCUGCUGCCUUUUCUCUCUCCUCUUCUUUGUUUUCACUCCACUGUGCUUCUGAAUUCAUGUUUAUUCUCUGCCAGGGUGGGAAAGGAGUAAUAAUAUUACAAUUCUAUGGCUUUAUACCAUAAAUAAAUCUAGAUGCUGUGAAAAUA
rnacentral:lncRNA from 1 species